UUUUGUAUUUUCUUUUCAAGUUUGUAAACUAAUCCAAUUUUGGGUUUUUUCAGCUUGUUGCGGGACUUUUGGGUGUGGAAUCCGGUCAAGAUGCUAUAAUCAGAGGGUUAUUAUACGAGAGGCUAAAUACGACAGUAAGACCUUAUGAGAUAACAAUUGCAGAGUUCACUGAUCGCAUAUCUAAUCUAAGGAACAAGCUUGGUGGAGCAGGGUUGAAAGAUGAAGGCCUUGUGGUUCCUAAAGAACUGGGUGCCGAAGGCAAGAUCGAGGGAAAUACACUUGCAGGAGACAAAUACUCGGUUUCCUAUGAAAGGACACCUGAAGAAAUUCUUAAAAUUGUCUAUGGAACUGGAAAUGAAUCAAUUCCUGGUGGUUUUUAUCCAAAGGGAGCUAACGGUGCCAUUGCGAAAUCUUAUUUAUCUACCGCAAACUACUAAAAGUGGGAAACCUGACAGUUUUAAGUUACCACUGUCAAUUUAAGCAACUAUCUUGUGUGAUUAAUGUUGUUCUUUUGAGUCGAUAAUUAUGUCAUUUCAUAUCUUCUACGUAUCUUGUCUUUUUGACUAUUUAAUCCUACUCGUUUAUAAAUGUACAAGUUGUCAUAUAAAUAAUUCGAGAUAACCAAUAAAGUUAAGAAUCUGCAUUAAACAUAUAAAAAUUUCAUAUUCACAAUUCAACCAUUUGCGACACAAAAAUAAAAAGGGCAACCGUAAAGUUUGAUGCGCUUAAAACCAUAAUGCACUUGCAAUCAGGUACUUUUAAUUGUUGACUCAGUCAAUCAACAAGGGCUACAAAUCUGUACACAGCUAAAAGUUGAUGACUAACAAAAGGCUUUUGGCCACGUUUGCAUUCAUAUAUGAAGUAAAGAUCUUGGCAGAUUGCACAUCAAAUUGAUUUUAUGUAGUCUCAAUAAAAAAUUUUAUAUAUACCAUGAGUUUUUAUGCAUAAUUUUAUUGAACAUUUCUGUAAGAAUUUAAAGUUACAAUUUUUUUUCAAUACUAUAAUGUAGAUCUAGUAAAAAAAAAAAGUGCGGCAUUUUUCAUGUUUCUUAGACAAAUUUCAAUUUAUGAUUUUUAAUACGAUUGAAUUGAAGAAUUCUCAAAUAUAAUGUUAAGAGUCCUUUGCUAUUCGAAAUUCUUCCAUUGCUAACCAUAGCCUUUUGUAUUCUUUUAAGUUUUUCUUCUUAUUAAGUCGGUAGAUUCUUUCUCUUCUUUUUCUCUUUUUUUUACCCAAAAAACAUCAACCCUAUUUUAAUUAGAGCUAGAUUUCAUAGGUUUUUUUUUUUUAAAUUAAUUUCCCUAACCGCAUUAAGUAUGCACCACUAAGUUUCAUAUUUAUUCCCUAAUUUACGCAAAUUCAAAAGACAAAUUAUUCCAAUAUACUUGCAAAUUCAAUACCCUAAUUUUUUGAGGUGAAAAAUAUUUUGAGCUAUUAACUGCAAUUUUUUAGUUUAUUUUUCUUAAAAUAUAUAAUCAACUUAGUCGGAUUCAAACAAAAAAAAAAUUCAUUGAAACAGACUCAAUUUCGAUGUUAUGAUUAUCUAAAGUUUUAAAUACCAAAAAUUAUAUGGUUUUGUAGGUCAUGUUAAAAGCGUAUUUUUACUUUGCAUUUGGCAUGCCAAAAGUAUUUUGAGUUGUACUCCUUUGGUUGCACAAAUGCUUUUAAAGCACAAAAAUCAAAGCCGAAAGUUCAACCAAAUGGGGUCUAAUAUAUAUUUAUAUAUGUUAAUUAGGUAAAUACUAUUUGUAGCAUAUAUUAUUAAUUAAUUUAUUUUGUUAAAUAGGUCAUGAAAAGAUUGUAUUUUUCAUUGAUAAGUAAGAUAAAAGAGUUUUUCCUUUUAGAGACACAAUACAACCUAAAAAGGAAAAUAAAUUUACAGUUAUAAAUAUACAAAAAUAAACCUUGAUUUCUAGGAAGAAAAUCAUAUCCCCGUAAUUAUAAAAUAUACGGUCAUGGAUUCUCAACACUCUCCUUCAAGCUGCCUGAAAGUCGUCAUUAAUAGCCAGCUUGUUCACCAAUUUUAUCAAAUUGCUUCUUCAGUAAGCCUUUAGAGAGUACUGCUACUUGUUCAAACAUAGAAAUAUAGGACAUAACAACGAACCCAAUUUCCAAUUUCUCCUUAAUAAAGUAUGUGUUAACUUCAAGAUACUUAGUUCUAUCAUGGAGUAUUAGAUCAUGUGCUAUUGCAAUGGUGACUUUAUUAUCACAAAAAACUUCCAUGGAUAAGGGACUAGUAGCUUUUAAGUUCUUCAAGAAACUAUUUAAUCCAUAAAGCUUCACAUAUACAAUGUGCCACCAUCGUAAACUCUGCUUCAACACUAUUUCUAGCCACCAUAUUCAGUUUUUUCUAAGCCAAGUUGUAAGAUUUCCUCUAACAAAAGUACAAUACCCGAAGUUGAUCUUCUGUUUUACUUCCUUUGAAUCAUGGGCAAAGGCUCCCUUCGCUAGGGUCAUACCUACACAUGAAUGGAUGAAUUAUUGUCAUAUCUUAAAUUUGUAAUCAAAUCAAAAUGAUCAUCAUUUCUUUAAUUUACUUGCCAAAACAAUAUAUUUCAAGCCAAAAGAAAAAGAACACCCUAAUAAUUAAUUUUGACUCCAGAAGGAACCUUACGUGUAAAAAAUAUUCAAUUUCCAUUAUUUUUUUAAUUAUUUUUAUUAUUUACCUUGUAAGUAAUAUACUUGUCUCAUUUACAUAACAAUUAAGUAUUCAAGUCCAAAUCCUCAUGUUCCAUUUCUAAUAGAUAUUGUAAAUAGAGAUAUGUAUAUGUAAGCCUAUAAAUACAUGUGACAAAACACUUCAUACAUCACCAACCACUAAGAAAAAACAAUGGCAGUCACCUUCUUUGCUACAUUGAUCUGUGUUCUUGUUCUGCAAUCCUUCUUCUUAAAGAUCAACUCGAGCCCAUAUGGUUCCGAUGUGCCAAAAGGUGAUAAGGAUUUGUUAGAGUUUCCAUUGAAUCUGGAGUACUUAGAGGCUGAGUUUUUCUUGUAUGGCUCAUUAGGGUAUGGGUUGGACAAGGUUGCUCCCCAGUUGACUUUGGGAGGCCCUGCUCCUAUUGGUGCCAAAAAGGCCAAUCUUGAUCCCAUUACAAGAGAUAUUAUAGAGCAAUUUGCAUGGCAAGAAGUUGGACACUUAAGGUAUCGUAUCUGCAUUUUUCACUCUUGAAUUUUGUUUAAUUAUUUGUGUUGAAUUCAUUUGGUUUGUCUUAUCUCAUUCCUUGACUUCUUCCAUUAUUUAAUAUAAAGGGCAAUUAAAUCGACUGUCAAAGGAUUUCCAAGGCCACAAUUGGAUUUGAGUGCAGGGUCAUUUGCCAAGGUGAUUAAUAGUGCAUUUGGGAAGAACUUACAGCCUCCUUUUGACCCCUAUGCCAAUAGCAUCAACUACCUUAUUGCAUCCUAUGCAAUUCCUUAUGUGGGACUUACUGGAUAUGUGGGAGCAAGUCCCAGACUCCAAGGUGCUACUUCAAAAAGGGUAAGCUCCUAAUAUAUAACGAGGAAAGAAAUCAAUAACAUUCUUAAUUCAUAAAUGAUAUUUAAAUCAACUUAUUCUAUAAUUUUUUUCUUUUACUUGUCAAAUAAUUAUCCAAUUAUCUGUUGCAUACAGCUUGUUGCGGGGCUUUUAGGCGUGGAGUCUGGCCAAGAUGCUGUAAUCAGAGGGCUUUUAUAUGAGAAGUCAAAUCUGAAAGUGAUGCCUUAUGGGAUAACAGUUGCAGAGUUUACCAAUCGCAUCUCUGAUCUAAGGAACAAGCUUGGCAAAACAGGGUUGAAAGAUGAAGGCCUUGUGGUCCCUAAACAACUAGGUGCUGAGGGCAAGAUCCAGGGAAAUUCUCUUGCUGGUGACAAAUACUCGGUUGCCUACGAUAGAACACCUGAAGAAAUUCUUAGAAUUGUCUAUGGAAGUGGCAAUGAAGCCACACCUGGUGGUUUCUAUCCAAAGGGAGCUGAUGGUGCCAUUGCUAAAUCUUAUCUACACACUGCAAACCAUUAAUAGUGUGAAACCUGGCUGUUUUAUGUUAUCACCAUCCAUUUAAACAAUUAUGUUUUGUGUAUAAUGUUGUUUACGAUCGUGACAACACUAAACUGAGCCAAUAAUUGUGACAUUUUAUUCCAUUUAUGCAUCUUGAAUUUUGAAUUAUAAACCCUUAUUUAAUCAUAUACAAUAAGCAUCAUUAGUUCUUUUCUUGUAUGAUGUUGACUAAAAAAUCAUUUUCUAAUUAGACUCUUAUCACAGAGAGAACGGUCCAUAGAUGUACAAGUUAUCAUAUAUCUAGACUAAAAUAACCAGUAAACUUAAAAUCUGAAUAAAUAUAUAAGAAUCGUAGGUUCGUAACUCAAAUCACUCGAUUUAGCAUCAACUAUUUUCUAAUUUUAUAUAUUAUCAGUAUAGAGAAGCAAUCAAGAUUGUCAAAUCAUUUUACUCAGGUUGGGAGAAAAACCUUUCAUGGAAUUAUCUGAUGCAAUUAACUCACAGUAACGACAUGCAGAAGAGGAACUUCUACUUAGACCUGUCAAUUUCAAAAGAUUAUAAAACCAAAAAUAAUAUAGUUAAAUUAUAUCUGGAUCAAAUUGAAAUUGCAAAUAAUUUUGGUAAACAAGGUGCUUCGAGCCUGCUAGACAUGGGAAUGAGAUUCCUGUUGGUUUGUUGAUUAAAUAAUUUAUAUUUCUCUAUAUUUCUUACGUGCAUCUGUAAGUUAUUUUGAACUUUUCGAGAAAUGAUCGCGUCAUUUGCAAGAAUGAUAAUUCUUCUAAGUUAAAACUUUUGAGUAUUUCAUUAUCACUUAAAGUCAAGCAUACAGCCCGUGCAUCUUACAGUUGUACAUUUUUUAAGCAAAAAUUUUCAAAUGAAUAAUCUCAUUUCUUUUAAGCAACUUCACUACACAAGAGUCCUAUCUAAAUACCCAUUUUGGGAAUUCUACAACUAAAAUUUAAAACAAGAAAAAGAAUUUACCAGCAUAUGUGGGGGGGUUUGGAUCAUUAUUAUUAUUCUUAUGAUAUUAUUGUUACAAUAAACUUUUGACCUCAAAAAAAAAUAAUAGUAUUAUUAUAAUAAAUUUUAAACUAAUUGUUCAUGAUCGUAAUUAAAGAGUAUUUAUAGUAACCAAAUAUUAUUAUUAGUAUUAUUAUUAUUACAGCUAUUAUCACGUUAUAUCACCAUGAUCGUUAUUAUUAUUAUUAUUACUAUUAUUGUAAACUAUUACUAAUAAAUGAGCCAAUCGUUUUACGUGAAAUACAUGCUAUUUUGUAUUAUUGUCAUUUUAAUCAAAUCAAAAUGACCAUCAUUUCUCUACUUACUAAAACAAUUCAUUUCAAGACAAAAAAAGAAUAUCAUAAUAAUUAAUUUUAACUCCAAAAAGAACCUUACGUAUCCAAAAUUUCUUAUUUCUUGUUGUUCUAAUUAUUUUUAUUAUUUACCCUGCAAGUAAUAUACUUGUCUCAUAUGCAUUACAGUUAAUUAUUCGAUUCCCAAAUCCCCAUGUUCCAUUUCUAAUAGAUCUUGUACAUAGACAUAUGUAUAUGUAAACCUAUAAAUACAUGUGACAAAACACUUCAUACAACACCAACCACUAAGCAAAAACAAUGGCAGUCACCUUCUUUGCUCCAUUGAUAUGUGUUCUUGUUCUGCAAUCCUUCUUCUUAAAGAUCAGCUCAAGCCUAUAUGGUUCCGAUGUGCCAAAAGACGAUAAGGAUUUGUUAGAGUUCCCAUUGAAUCUGGAGUACUUGGAGGCUGAGUUUUUCUUGUAUGGCUCAUUAGGGUAUGGGUUGGACAAGGUUGCUCCCCAGUUGACCUUGGGAGGCCCUGCUCCUAUUGGUGCCAAAAAGGCCAAUCUUGAUCCCAUUACAAGAGAUAUUAUAGAGCAAUUUGCAUGGCAGGAAGUUGGACACCUAAGGUAUCGAAUCCGCAUUUUCCAAUCUUGAAUUUUCUUUAACUAUUUGUGUUGAAUUUAUUUGGUUUUAGUCUUAUCUCAUCCCUUGACUUGUUUCAUUAUUUAAUAUGAAGGGCAAUUAAGACGACUGUCAAAGGAUUUCCAAGGCCACAAUUGGAUUUGAGUGCAAGGUCAUUUGCCAAUGUGAUUAAUAGUGCAUUUGGGAAGAACUUACAGCCUCCUUUUGACCCCUAUGCCAAUAGCAUCAACUACCUUAUUGCAUCCUAUGCAAUUCCUUAUGUUGGACUUACUGGAUAUGUGGGAGCAAGUCCCAGACUCCAAGGUGCUACUUCAAAAAGGGUAAGCCCCUAAUAUAUAACGAGGGAAAAAAUCAAUAACAUUCCUAAUUCAUAAGUGAUAUUUAAAUCAACUUAUUCUAUAAUUUUUUCUUUUGCUUGUCAAAUAAUUAUCUAAUUAUCUGUUGCGUACAGCUUGUUGCGGGGCUUUUAGGCGUGGAGUCUGGCCAAGAUGCUGUAAUCAGAGGGCUUUUAUAUGAGAAGUCAAAUCUGAAAGUGAAGCCUUAUGGGAUAACAGUUGCAGAGUUUACUAAUCGCAUCUCUGAUCUAAGGAACAAGCUUGGCAAAGCAGGGUUGAAAGAUGAAGGCCUUGUGGUCCCUAAACAACUGGGUGCUGAGGGCAAGAUCCAGGGAAAUUCUCUCGCUGGUGACAAAUACUCGGUUGCCUAUGAUAGGACACCUGAAGAAAUUCUUAGAAUUGUCUAUGGAAGUGGCAAUGAAGCCACACCUGGUGGUUUCUAUCCAAAGGGAGCUGAUGGUGCCAUUGCUAAAUCUUAUCUACACACUGCAAACCAUUAAUAGUGUGAAACUUGGCAGUUUUAUGUUAUCACUAUCCAUUUAAACAAUUAUGUUUUGUGUAUAAUGUUGUUGUCGAUCAUGACAACACUAAACUGAGCCAAUAAUUGUGACGUUUUAUCCCAUUUAUGUAUCUUGUAGUUUGAAUUAUAAACCUUUAUUUAAUCGUAUACAAUAAGUAUCAUUAGUUUUUUUCUUGUAUGAUGUUGACUAAAAAAUCAUCUUCUAAAUAUAGACUCUUAUCACAAAGAGACUACUGUAUAAAUGUACAAGUUGUCACAUAAAUAAUCUAAAAUAAUCAAUAAACUUAAAAUCUGGAUUAAUAUAUAAGAAUCUCAAGUUCGCAAUUCAAAUCACUUAAUCUGGCAUCAACCAUUUUCUAAUUUCAUAUAUGAUCAGUAAAGAGAAGUAGUCGAGAUUAUCAAAUCAUUUCACUCAGGUUGGGAGAAACACUUUUCAUGGAAUCAUGUGAUGCAACGAACUCACAGUAACGAUAUGCAGAAGAGGCACUUCUGUUUAUACCUGUCAAUUUCGAAAUAUAUAAAAGAUUAUAAAAAUAAAAGAAUAAUAUAAUUAAAUCAUAUCUAGAUCAAAUUGAAGUUGCAAAUAAUUUUGUCAUACCUAAAUAAAAAAUUUGAAUCAUUCAAGAAAACCCCCCACAAUUUCAUAACCAAGACUCAUUGAUGGCCUUAUAUCAGGCCAAGGCAAAAAGAAAACAUUUACACCCACCUUCAUAGUACUAAUAUAUACUUAUACUCAAAUGUAAUUAACUCCCAAUUUUGUCCUUGCAACAAAUUCUUUCUUUUUUCUCAUAAAAUGAAACUUUUCAUCCGCUCCUUCAUAUAUAUUGAUACUAAAAUUUAGUUACCUCCAAAUUUGUCCUCACAUUAAUGUAGUUCUUGUUUUUCUUCCUCUUAAACCGCUUCAUUGUAGUACUAAUAUACAUCUAAUUAUUAGGUAAAUAAACCAUUUCAUUGUAGUACUAAUAUACAUACAAUAAUUAGGUAAAUAUACCAUUAGUAGCACAUACGUACAAGUUAUUAUAGUUCUUAUUAUUCUCUUAAGUAGUAAUGUUAUUAUCAAUGUACACAAGCCAUUGUCGUAUUAUUUUCACUUUGAUCAAUAAUAAUUUAAUAUAUAAAUGAAUUAAUUAUUAUUAUUAUUAUUAUUGUAUUUAAUAUUCCUAAACUAAAUCAAAAUUUGAUCAAUGUUUCUUCAACUCACAUCCGAAAUUUCCCAUUAAAAUUAUUUACUUUGUAAGUAAUAUAUAUAUAUAUAUACUUUCUUAAUCCAAUCACAUAUCCAAAAUUUACACUUAUUCUUGUUUCAACAAAAUUUCCAACCUUCAUUUGUUUUUACCAUUUAAUCCGUCACCUAAAUAUGGAAAGAUAAACGCUCAGUUAUUUAUUUACGCCGACAAUCUGCCGAACUGGCAAACUUCCCUCCUUAAAUCCUUAUUCACCGAUGAUAAAUAACCACAAUAAGACAGAUACCCACAUGGCAGUCCCACAAUCAGCCAAGUAUUCUAUUCCCAAAAAAUGCAAGUUCCGUUUCAAAUGCAUCUUUGUAUAUUAUACACGUUUACGUAAGCCUAUAAAUACAUAUGACAAAACCCUUCACACACCACCAACCACUAGCCAAAAAGAGAUAAUGGCACUCACCUUCUCUGCUUCAUUGAUCUGUGUUCUUGUUCUGCAAUCUUUCCUCUUAAAAAUAAACUCGCACCCAUAUGGGUCUGAUGUGCGAAAGGGUGAUAAGGAUUUGCUAGAGUUCCCGUUGAAUCUGGAGUACUUGGAGGCUGAGUUUUUUUGCCAUGGCUCAUUAGGGUAUGGGUUGGACAAGGUUGCUCCCGAGCUGACCAUGGGAGGUCCUCCUCCUAUUGGUGCCAGAAAGGCCAAUCUUGAUCCCUUAAUAAGAGAUAUCAUGGAGCAAUUUGCAUGGCAAGAAGUUGGACACUUGAGGUUUUGCAUACGCAUUGUUCAAUCUUCAGUUUUUUUUAAUUAUUUGUAUUGAAUUGCUUCGGAUUAGAUUUUUUACUUCAUUUUCGCGUAGGGCAAUUAAGUCGACGGUCAAAGGAUUUCCAAGGCCGCUGUUGGAUUUGAGUGCAGCAACAUUUGCCAAGGUGAUUAAUAGUGCAUUUGGGAAGAACUUGCGGCCUCCUUUUGAUCCUUAUGCCAAUAGCAUCAACUUCCUUACUGCAACCUACAUAAUUCCUUAUGUUGGACUUACUGGAUAUGUUGGAGCAAGUCCUAGGCUCCAAGGUGCUACUUCCAAAAGAGUAAGUCCCUAGCACAUAACAAAGAAUGAAAACCGUAAUAUUUCUAAUUCAUAAAAUGAUAUAUAGAUCAUAUUAUUUUGUAUCUUCUUUUCAAGUUUGUAAACUAAUCUAAUUUUGGGUUGUUUCAGCUUGUUGUGGGGCUUUUGGGUGUGGAAUCCGGUCAAGAUGCUAUAAUCAGAGGAUUAUUAUACGAGAGGCUAAAUACGACAGUAAGACCUUAUGAGAGAACAAUUGCAGAGUUCACUGAUCGCAUAUCUAAUCUAAGGAACAAGCUUGGUAGAGCAGGGUUGAAAGAUGAAGGCCUUGUGGUUCCUAAAGAACUGGGCGCCGAAGGCAAGAUCGAGGGAAAUACACAUGCAGGAGACAAAUACUCGGUUUCCUAUGAAAGGACACCUGAAGAAAUUCUUAGAAUUGACUAUGGAACUGGAAAUGAAUCAAUUCCUGGUGGUUUUUAUCCAAAGGGAGCUAACGGUGCCAUUGCGAAAUCUUAUUUAUCUACCGCAAACUACUAAAAGUGGGAAACCUGACAGUUUUAAGUUACCACUGUCAAUUUAAGCAACUAUCUUGUGUGAUUAAUGUUGUUCUUUUGAGUCGAUAAUUAUGUCGUUUCAUAUCUUCUACGUAUCUUGUCUUUUUGACUAUUUAAUCCUACUCGUUUAUAAAUGUACAAGUUGUCAUAUAAAUAGUUCGAGAUAACCAAUAAAGUUAAGAAUCUCAUGUUCACAAUUCAAUCAUUCGCGACACAAAAAUAAAGAGGGCAACUGUAAAGUUUGAUGCGCUUAAACCCAUAAUGCACUUGCAAUCAGGUACUAUUAAUGGUUGACUCAAUCAAUCAACAAGAGCUACAAAUCUGUACACAAUUAAAAGUUGAUGACUAACAAAAUGCACUUGGCCAAGUCUGCAUUCAUACUUGAAGUAAGAAUCUCUGCAGAUUGCACAUCAAAUUGAUUUUAUGUAGUCUCAAUCAAAAAUUUUAUAAAUACUAUGAGUUUUUAUGUAUAAUUUUAUUGAACAUUUAUGUAAGAAUUUAAAGUUACAAUUUUUUUUCAAUACUAUAAUGUAGAUCUAGUAAAGAAACAAAGUGUGGCAUUUUUCAUGUUUCUUAGACAAAUUUCAAUUUAUGAUUUUUAAUAUGAUUGAAUUGAAGAAUUCUCAAAUAUAAUGUUAAGAGUUCUUUGCUAUUCGAAAUUCUUCCAUUGCUAACUAUCACUUUUUGUAUUCUUUUAAGUUUUUCUUCUUAUUAAGUCGAUAGAUUCUUUCUCUUCUUUUUCUUUUUUUUUUACUCAAAAAACAUCAACCCUAUUUUAAUUAGAGCUAGAUUUCAUAGGUUUUUUUGAAAAAAAAUUAAUUUCCUUAGCCGCAUUAAGUAUGCACCACUAAGUUUCAUCUUUAUUCCCUAAUUUACGCAAAUUCAAAAGACAAAUUAUUCCAAUAUACUUGCAAAUUCAAUACCCUAAUUUUUUGAGGUGAAAAAUAUUUUCAGCUAUGAACUACCAUUUUUUACUUUAUUUUUCUUAAAAUAUAUGGUCAACUUAGUCGGAUUCAAACAAAAAAAAAACAUCAUUGAAACAGACUCAAUUUCGAUAUUAUGAUUUUCUAAAGUUUUAAAUACCAAAAAUUAUAUAGUUUUGUAGGUCAUGCUAAAAACGUAUUUUUACUUUGCAUUUGGCAUGAUAAAAGUAUUUUGAGUUGUACUCCUUUGGUUGCACAAAUGCUUUUAAAGCACAAAAAUCAAAGCCGAAAGUUCAACCAAAUGGGGUCUAAUAUAUAUUUAUAUCUGUUAAUUAGGUAAAUACUAUUUGUAGCAUAUAUUAUUAAUUAAUUUAUUUUGUGAAAAAGCUAAUGAAAAGAUUGUAUUUUUCAUUUAUAAGUACGAUAAAAGAGUUUUUCCUAUUAGAGACACAAUACAACCUAAAAAAGAAAAUAAAUUUAUAGUUAUAAAUAUACAAAAAUAAACCUUGAUUUCUAGGAAGAAAAUCAUAUCACCGUAAUUAUAAAAUAUACAAUCAUGCAUUCUCAACACUCUCCUUCAAGCUGCCUGAAAGUCGUCAUUAAUAGCAAGUUUGUUCACCAAUUUUAUCAACUUGCUUCUUCAGUAAGCCUUUAGAGAGUAUUGCUACUUGUUCAAACAUAGAAAUAUAGGACAAAACAACGAAUCCAAUUUCCAAUUUCUCCUUAAUAAAGUAUGUGUUAACUUCAAGAUACUUAGUUCUAUCAUGGAGUAAUAGAUCAUGUGCUAUUGCAAUGGUGACUUUAUUAUCACAAAAAACAUCCAUGGAUAAGGGACUAGUAGCUUUUAAGUUCUUCAAGAAACUAUUUAAUCCAUAAAGCUUCACAUAUACAAUGUGCCACCAUCUUAAACUCUGCUUCAACACUAUUUCUAGCCACCAUAUUCUGUUUUUUCUAAGCCAAGUCGUAAGAUUUCCUCCAACAAAAGUACAAUACCCGAAGUUGAUCUUCUGUUUUACUUCCUUUGAAUCAUGGGCUAAGGCUCCCUUCGCUAGGGUCAUACCUACACAUGAAUGGAUGAAUUAUUGUUAUAUCUUAUAUUUGUAAUCAAAAUGAUCAUCAUUUCUUUAACUUACUUGCCAAAACAAUAUAUUUCAAGCCAAAAAAAAAAAGAACAUCCUAGUAAUUAAUUUUGACUCCAGAAGGAACCUUACGUAUCCAAAAUAUUCAAUUUCCAUUAUUGUUUUAAUUAUUUUUAUUAUUUACCUUGUAAGUAAUAUACUUGUCUCAUUUACAUAACAGUUAAGUAUUCCUGUCCAAAUCCCCAUGUUCCAUUUCUAAUAGAUAUUGUACAUAGAGAUAUGUAUAUGUAAGCCUAUAAAUACAUGUGACAAAACACUUCAUACAUCACCAACCACUAAGGAAAAACAAUGGCAGUCACCUUCUUUGCUCCAUUGAUCUGUGUUCUUGUUCUGCAAUCCUUCUUCUUAAAGAUCAACUCAAGCCCAUAUGGUUCCGAUGUGCCAAAAGGCGAUAAGGAUUUGUUAGAGUUCCCAUUGAAUCUGGAGUACUUAGAGGCUGAGUUUUUCUUGUAUGGCUCAUUAGGGUAUGGGUUGGACAAGGUUGCUCCCCAGUUGACUUUGGGAGGCCCUGCUCCUAUUGGUGCCAAAAAGGCCAAUCUUGAUCCCAUUACAAGAGAUAUUAUAGAGCAAUUUGCAUGGCAAGAAGUUGGACACUUAAGGUAUCGUAUCCGCAUUUUCCAAUCUUGAAUUUUUUUAACUAUUUGUGUUGAAUUCAUUUGGUUUGUCUUAUCUCAUUCCUUGACUUCUUCCAUUAUUUAAUAUAAAGGGCAAUUAAAUCGACUGUCAAAGGAUUUCCAAGGCCACAAUUGGAUUUGAGUGCAGGGUCAUUUGCCAAGGUGAUUAAUAGUGCAUUUGGGAAGAACUUGCAGCCUCCUUUUGACCCCUAUGCCAAUAGCAUCAACUACCUUAUUGCAUCCUAUGCAAUUCCUUAUGUUGGACUUACUGGAUAUGUGGGAGCAAGUCCCAGACUCCAAGGUGCUACUUCAAAAAGGGUAAGCCCCUAAUAUAUGACGAGGGAAGAAAUCAAUAACAUUCCUAAUUCAUAAGUGAUAUUUAAAUCAACUUAUUCUAUAAUUUUUUUCUUUUGCUUGUCAAAUAAUUAUCCAAUUAUCUGUUGCGUACAGCUUGUUGCGGGGCUUUUAGGCGUGGAGUCUGGUCAAGAUGCUGUAAUAAGAGGGCUUUUAUAUGAGAAGUCAAAUCUGAAAGUGAAGCCUUAUGGGAUAACAGUUGCAGAAUUUACCAAUCGCAUCUCCGAUCUAAGGAACAAGCUUGGCAAAGCAGGGUUGAAAGAUGAAGGCCUUGUGGUCCCUAAACAACUGGGUGCUGAGGGCAAGAUCCAGGGAAAUUCUCUUGCUGGUGACAAAUACUCGGUUGCCUACGACAGGACACCUGAAGAAAUUCUUAGAAUUGUCUAUGGAAGUGGCAAUGAAGCCACACCUGGUGGUUUCUAUCCAAAGGGAGCUGAUGGGGCCAUUGCUAAAUCUUAUCUACACACUGCAAACCAUUAAUAGUGUGAAACCUGGUAGUUUUAUGUUAUCACCAUCCAGUUAAGCAAUUAUGUUUUGUGUAUAAUGUUGUUUACGAUCGUGACAACACUAAAUUGAGCCAAAAAUUAUGACAUUUUGUUCUAUUUAUGUAUCUUGAAUUUUGAAUUAUAAACUCUUAUUUAAUACAAUAAGCAUCAUUAGUUCUUUUCUUGUAUGAUAGUGACUAAAAAAUCAUCUUCUAAUUAUAAGCUCUUAUAACAGAGAGACCGGUCCAUAUAUUUACAAGUUAUCAUAUCUAUAGACUGAAAUAACCAGUAAACUUAAAAUCUGGAUAAAUAUAUAAGAAUAUCAAGUUCGCAACUCAAAUUACUCGAUCUUGCAUCAACUAUUAGAAAUAUUAUCAGUAAAGAGAAACAGUCAAGAUUGUCAAAUCAUUUUACUCAGGUUGGGAGAAAAACCUUUCAUGGAAUCAUCUUAUACAAUUAAUUCAUAGUAACGACAUGCAGAAAAAGCACUUCUACUUAGACCUGUCAAUUUCAAAGGAUACAAAAAUUAUAAAACCAAAAAUAAUAUAAUUAAAUUAUAUCAAGAUCAAAUUGAAGUUGCAAAUAAUUUUGGUAAACAAGGUGCUUCGUGCCUGCUAGUCAUGGGAAUGAGAUUCCUGUUGGUUUGUUGAUUAAAUAAUUUAUAUUUCUCUACAUUUCUUACGUGCAUCUGUAAGUUAUUUUGAACUUUUCAAGAAAUGAUCACGUCAUUUGCAAGAAUGAUAAUUCUUCUGAGUUAUAACUUUUGAGUAUUUCAUUAUCACUUAAAGUCAAGCAUACAAUUACCCAUCUUGUUUAGCACCUGAGCCCGCGCAUCUUACAGUUGUGCAUUUUUUAAGCAAAAAUUUUCAAAUGAAUAAUUUCAUUUCUUUUCAGCAAUUUCACUACACAAGAGUCCUAUCAAAAUACCCAUUUUGGGAAUUCUACAACUAAAAUUUAUAACAAGAAAAAGAACAGCAUAUGUGGGGGUUUGGAUCAUUAUUAUUAUUCUUAUAAUAUUAUUGUUAAAUAAACCUAUUCUUAUAAUAUUAUCGUUACAAUAAACCUUUCACCUCAAAAAAAAAAUAAUAGUAUUAUUAUAAUAAAUUUUAAACUAAUUGUUCAUGAUUGUAAUUAAGGAGUAUUUAUAGUAACCAAAUAUUAUUAUUAGUACUAUUAUUAUUAUUACUAUUACAGCUAUUAUCACGUUAUAUCACCAUGAUCGUUAUUAUUAUUAUUGUAAACUAUUACUAAUAAAUGAGCCAAUCGCUUUACGUGAAAUACAAGCUAUUUGGUAUUAUUGUCAUUUUAAUCAAUAAUAGUUUUGCAUCUAAAUCAAUUUUUUUUAUCCUUCACUAAAGUCAUACUUACACCUAAAUGGACGAAUUAUUAUUAUAUCUUAUAUUUCUAAUCAAAUCAAAAUGACCAUUAUUUCUUUACUUACUAAAAUAAUUCAUUUGAAGACAAAAAAAGAAUAUCGUAAUAAUUAAUUUUAACUCCAAAAGGAACCUUACGUAUCCAAAAUUUCUUAUUUCUUGUUGUUCUAAUUAUUUUUAUUAUUUACCCUGCAAGUAAUAUACUUGUCUCAUAUGCAUUACAGUUAAGUAUUCGAUUCCCAAAUCCCCAUGUUCCAUUUCUAAUAGAUCUUGUACAUAGACAUAUGUAUACGUAAGCCUAUAAAUAAAUGUGACAAAACACUUCAUACAACACCAACCACUAAGCAAAAACAAUGGCAGUCACCUUCUUUGCUCCAUUUAUAUGUGUUCUUGUUCUGCAAUCCUUCUUCUUAAAGAUCAACUCAAGCCCAUAUGGUUCCGAUGUGCCAAAAGGCGAUAAGGAUUUGUUAGAGUUCCCGUUGAAUCUGGAGUACUUGGAGGCUGAGUUUUUCUUGUAUGGCUCAUUAGGGUAUGGGUUGGACAAGGUUGCUCCCCAGUUGACCUUGGGAGGCCCUGCUCCUAUUGGUGCCAAAAAGGCCAAUCUUGAUCCCAUUACAAGAGAUAUUAUAGAGCAAUUUGCAUGGCAAGAAGUUGGACACCUAAGGUAUCGAAUCCGCAUUUUCCAAUCUUGAAUUUUCUUUAACUGUUUGUGUUGAAUUCAUUUGGUUUUAGUCUUAUCUCAUCCCUUGACUUCUUCUAUUAUUUAAUAUGAAGGGCAAUUAAGUCGACUGUCAAAGGAUUUCCAAGGCCACAAUUGGAUUUGAGUGCAAGGUCAUUUGCCAAGGUGAUUAAUAGUGCAUUUGGGAAGAACUUACAGCCUCCUUUUGACCCCUAUGCCAAUAGCAUCAACUACCUUAUUACAUCAUAUGCAAUUCCUUAUGUUGGACUUACUGGAUAUGUGGGAGCAAGUCCCAGACUCCAAGGUGCUACUUCAAAAAGGGUAAGCCCCUAAUAUAUAACGAGGGAAAAAAUCAAUAACAUUCUUAAUUCAUAAGUGAUAUUUAAAUCAACUUAUUCUAUAUUUUUUUCUUUUGCUUGUCAAAUAAUUGUCCAAUUAUCUGUUGCGUACAGCUUGUUGCGGGGCUUUUAGGCGUGGAGUCUGGCCAAGAUGCUGUAAUCAGAGGGCUUUUAUAUGAGAAGUCAAAUCUGAAAGUGAUGCCUUAUGGGAUAACAGUUGCAGAGUUUACCAAUCGCAUCUCCGAUCUAAGGAACAAGCUUGGCAAAGCAGGGUUGAAAGAUGAAGGCCUUGUGGUCCCUAAACAACUGGGUGCUGAGGGCAAGAUCCAGGGAAAUUCUCUUGCGGGUGACAAAUACUCGGUUGCCUACGACAGGACACCUGAAGAAAUUCUUAGAAUUGUCUAUGGAAGUGGCAAUGAAGCCACACCUGGUGGUUUCUAUCCAAAGGGAGCUGAUGGUGCCAUUGCUAAAUCUUAUCUACACACUGCAAACCAUUAAUAGUGUGAAA
rnacentral:lncRNA from 1 species